rnacentral:rRNA from 1 species
UACGUAGGGACGAGCGUUGUCCGGAAUUACUGGGCGUAAAGGGCGCGCAGGCGGUAUAUCAAGUCAGCUGUCAAAGACUGGGGCUCAACCCUGGUAUGCGGUUGAAACUGAUAUGCUGGAGUGCUGUAGAGGCAAGUGGAAUUCCCAGUGUAGCGGUGAAAUGCGUAGAUAUUGGGAAGAACACCAGUGGCGAAGGCGACUUGCUGGGCAGCAACUGACGCUGAGGCGCGAAAGCCAGGGGAGCAAACGGGAUUA